UACAGUAUUAGUACUUUGAUAACAACUUUACAAUUGCAAAUGCAUUAAAAAAUAUAUGUUUUUAUGAACUAACGAUAUUUUCCGUUCAGUGGAUGAUGUGUACCUCUUGAUAGGAUCUGCAAAUAUAAACCAAAGAUCAAUGGAUGGGCAAAGAGACACUGAAAUUGCAAUAGGGUGUUACCAGCUACCCAAAAAUGAUGAUCAAAACAGCGAAGAUAUUAGUGCAUACCGAUUGUCGCUAUGGUACGAACAUACUGGACUUGCAGAGGGACUAUUUCGAGAACCUGAAAGCCUGGAAUGUGUGCAGAAAAUAUGUUCAAUAGGAGAUGAAAUGUGGAAUAUUUACAGUGGUGAAGAAGUUGUAGACAUGGACGGUGUUCACCUGGUAACUUAUCCUGUGAAUGUAACACCUGAUGGAUUGAUUGAGGAUCUUGUUGAUGAAGGUGGAAAUUUUCCUGAUACAAAAACUCCAGUGAAGGGAAAGAGAUCAAAAGUAUUGCCUCCCAUAUGCACCACUUAGUUAUAUAUGAAUCUGUGGCUUUGCUGAAACUUGUACACAUUUGAAAGCUGUGAAGACAUGAAUGUAUGAUAUCGAUGUAAAAACUAUAAGCACCAGAGUUUAAUUAUAAAUUUUAGAAAAAAUAGAAAAAAAUAUAUUUAGAGAAGGGGGGGGGGGGGUGUAGAUUUUAUUUAUGAAAGAAAUUAUAAAGAAGGUUACUGUAACAUGUAUCUAGAUCCAUUUUCUAAAACAAAGUUGUAUGAACUUGGCCGCAGGACUUAGAGCAGCUUUCCCAGAAGCCCAAAAAGUUGAAUAUAGAAUAUCAUCAACUGGUCUCAAUAAGCUGAAUACCUGAUGUCAAUUUCUAAAAGUUGACUGUCUCAUGUCCAUUUUUAUAUUAAGCAAUGUGCUGGGUCAUCUCUUUAAUAGCAUUUCCUCACAAGCAACUCUGACGGAUAAUGACAAGCAAAUUCAC
rnacentral:lncRNA from 1 species